GAUGAACGCUAGCUACAGGCUUAACACAUGCAAGUCGAGGGGCAGCAUUUCAGUUUGCUUGCAAACUGGAGAUGGCGACCGGCGCACGGGUGAGUAACACGUAUCCAACCUGCCGAUAACUCGGGGAUAGCCUUUCGAAAGAAAGAUUAAUACCCGAUGGUAUAAUCAGACCGCAUGGUCUUGUUAUUAAAGAAUUUCGGUUAUCGAUGGGGAUGCGUUCCAUUAGGCAGUUGGUGAGGUAACGGCUCACCAAACCUUCGAUGGAUAGGGGUUCUGAGAGGAAGGUCCCCCACAUUGGAACUGAGACACGGUCCAAACUCCUACGGGAGGCAGCAGUGAGGAAUAUUGGUCAAUGGGCGCAGGCCUGAACCAGCCAAGUAGCGUGAAGGAUGACUGCCCUAUGGGUUGUAAACUUCUUUUAUAUGGGAAUAAAGUUUUCCACGUGUGGAAUUUUGUAUGUACCAUAUGAAUAAGGAUCGGCUAACUCCGUGCCAGCAGCCGCGGUAAUACGGAGGAUCCGAGCGUUAUCCGGAUUUAUUGGGUUUAAAGGGAGCGUAGGUGGACAGUUAAGUCAGUUGUGAAAGUUUGCGGCUCAACCGUAAAAUUGCAGUUGAUACUGGCUGUCUUGAGUACAGUAGAGGUGGGCGGAAUUCGUGGUGUAGCGGUGGAAUGCUUAGAUAUCACGAAGAACUCCGAUUGCGAAGGCAGCUCACUGGACUGCAACUGACACUGAUGCUCGAAAGUGUGGGUAUCAAACAGGAUUAGAUACCCUGGUAGUCCACACAGUAAACGAUGAAUACUCGCUGUUUGCGAUAUACAGUAAGCGGCCAAGCGAAAGCAUUAAGUAUUCCACCUGGGGAGUACGCCGGCAACGGUGAAACUCAAAGGAAUUGACGGGGGCCCGCACAAGCGGAGGAACAUGUGGUUUAAUUCGAUGAUACGCGAGGAACCUUACCCGGGCUUAAAUUGCAUUUGAAUAUAUUGGAAACAGUAUAGCCGUAAGGCAAAUGUGAAGGUGCUGCAUGGUUGUCGUCAGCUCGUGCCGUGAGGUGUCGGCUUAAGUGCCAUAACGAGCGCAACCCUUAUCUUUAGUUACUAACAGGUCAUGCUGAGGACUCUAGAGAGACUGCCGUCGUAAGAUGUGAGGAAGGUGGGGAUGACGUCAAAUCAGCACGGCCCUUACGUCCGGGGCUACACACGUGUUACAAUGGGGGGUACAGAAGGCAGCUACCUGGUGACAGGAUGCUAAUCCCAAAAGCCUCUCUCAGUUCGGAUCGAAGUCUGCAACCCGACUUCGUGAAGCUGGAUUCGCUAGUAAUCGCGCAUCAGCCAUGGCGCGGUGAAUACGUUCCCGGGCCU
rnacentral:rRNA from 1 species